UGAUAUGAGGGCAAUUGGAUUGCUGCAUCUAUCGCCUCAUUGUUUGCUGGAAGUGAGUUGGCUAAUUUGUCUGACUAACACAGGUGUCCUCUUCCUAAUACAUCCUUCCUUAGAUAUGUGUAUAACUCCAAAAGCUAUGCAUUUGGUGGAAAUGGACAUAUGCUCAAAUAUACAGGACUAUUCUUCAAUCAAGGGUAUAUCAAUAACUGUCAACCUUUGCUGGAAUGUACACAGACAGCUCUUAAACAAAAUCCCAAUGAGGCGCCUCCCUG
rfam:Mus musculus chromosome 1, GRC primary reference assembly.